rnacentral:rRNA from 1 species
GACGGGAGAUGCAAGCGUUAUUCGGAUUUAUUGGGCGUAAAGGGUUUGUAGGUUGUUGGUUAAGUCUAUGGUCAAAUUCCGAAGCUCAACUUCGGGCCGGCACUAGAAACUAAUCAACUUGAGUACGUUAGAGGCAGGGGGAAUUCCCAGUGUAGCGGUGAAAUGCGUAGAUAUUGGGAGGAACAUCAAUGGCGAAGGCACCCUGCUAGGCCGAUACUGACACUGAAAAACGAAAGCUAGGGGAGCAAAUGGGAUUAGAUACCCCUGUAGUCCUAGCCGUAAACGAUGGAUACUAGGUGUUGUAUUUUUUCAGUAUCGUAGCUAACGCGUUAAGUAUCCCGCCUGGGGAGUACGCUCGCAAGGGUG